GAGGGAUGCAACACGAGGACUUCC
rnacentral:siRNA from 1 species